AGAGGACACAUUCAUCACCACAUGCCUCUACUAAUUUCCCAGCAAGUAAUUGACAACAUUUUCAAGGGAACUUCAUGAAGCUCACUGCAGGUCAACACUGCAGGUCGUUUCUUUCAUGCACAUUAUCUUCCUGAGAUAAGACCUGGAUUAAUCUCUUCUUUAGAAUGACAGAGCAGCUGCAACAUGUGCCCGGUUCCAGAUACAGGAGGAGAAGCCCAACCUCAUCGAAAUCAAUGGGAGGGCAGCUACUUCCUAAUGAUUCUUCCUUUGAAAACAUUUCAGGAGCGAGACAAGAAAAAGAAGACCUUGUGAUAACACAACGCAGGAUGUGCCUUUUGUUUCCGAUGCCUGCCAUAUUCAACCAGCUUGUCAUGGCGUGCCAUUCUGGUGUGACUUUGUGCCAGGCAAGGGUUAUCCCUCCAGCCUGGCCUCUGCUCUUUGUCACUGCCCUCCUGUGGAGAGCAGCUAUGACAGAUGGGCAUAUCUAACAUUUUCUUAAUUUGGCUCUUUCAAACAUCUCAAUUUCAG
rnacentral:lncRNA from 1 species